AUAACUGGCCGGAUUGACCUGUACACAGAAUUCUGGAUAAAAUUGGUUCUGCUAGAUUUGGUGUCUUGACUUUAGAGGACAAUUUCAUUAAGUUCUGGUGAAAAUUUAGAGUUAUGGUCUUCAUGAAAGUUGUUCUAAAUUAUCUAAGUUUUCUAUUGAUAUAAAAUUUAGGUCAACUGGAUAUUUCUACACUGAGUUAUGACUAAA
rnacentral:misc_RNA from 1 species